GGACCCGUAGCUCAGCUGGAUAGAGCGUCGCCCUCCGAAGGCGAAGGCCGCACGUUCGACUCGUGUCGGGUCCGCCA
rnacentral:tRNA from 1 species